rnacentral:rRNA from 1 species
UAGGGAAUCUUCCGCAAUGGGCGAAAGCCUGACGGAGCAACGCCGCGUGAGUGAUGAAGGUCUUCGGAUCGUAAAACUCUGUUAUUAGGGAAGAACAUAUGUGUAAGUAACUAUGCACGUCUUGACGGUACCUAAUCAGAAAGCCACGGCUAACUACGUGCCAGCAGCCGCGGUAAUACGUAGGUGGCAAGCGUUAUCCGGAAUUAUUGGGCGUAAAGCGCGCGUAGGCGGUUUUUUAAGUCUGAUGUGAAAGCCCACGGCUCAACCGUGGAGGGUCAUUGGAAACUGGAAAUCUUGAGUGCAGAAGAGGAAAGUGGAAUUCCAUGUGUAGCGGUGAAAUGCGCAGAGAUAUGGAGGAACACCAGUGGCGAAGGCGACUUUCUGGUCUGUAACUGACGCUGAUGUGCGAAAGCGUGGGGAUCAAACAGG